rnacentral:rRNA from 1 species
AUUGAACGCUGGCGGAAUGCUUUACACAUGCAAGUCGAACGGCAGCACGGACUUCGGUCUGGUGGCGAGUGGCGAACGGGUGAGAAAUACAUCGGAACGUGCCCAGUCGUGGGGGAUAACGUAGCGAAAGCUACGCUAAUACCGCAUACGAUCUAAGGAUGAAAGCGGGGGAUCGCAAGACCUCGCGCGAUUGGAGCGGCCGAUGGCAGAUUAGGUAGUUGGUGGGGUAAAGGCCAACCAAGCCGACGAUCUGUAGCUGGUUUGAGAGGACGACCAGGCACACUGGGACUGAGACACGGCCCAGACUCCUACGGGAGGCAGCAGUGGGGAAUUUUGGACAAUGGGCGCAAGCCUGAUCCAGCCAUUCCGCGUGCAGGAUGAAGGCCCUCGGGUUGUAAACUGCUUUUGUACGGAACGAAAAGGCUCUGGUUAAUACCCGGGGCUCAUGACGGUACCGUAAGAAUAAGCACCGGCUAACUACGUGCCAGCCGCCGCAGUAA